UACGUAGGGGGCAAGCGUUGUCCGGAUUUAUUGGGCGUAAAGAGCGUGUAGGCGGCUUUGCAAGUCCGUUGUGAAAACUCGAGGCUCAACCUCGAGACGCCGGUGGAAACCGUUUGGCUAGAGUCCGGAAGAGGAGAGUGGAAUUCCCGGUGUAGCGGUGAAAUGCGCAGAUAUCGGGAAGAACACCCGUGGCGAAGGCGGCUCUCUGGGACGGUACUGACGCUGAGACGCGAAAGCGUGGGGAGCGAACAGG
rnacentral:rRNA from 1 species